GUACGCGCACGAUAUAGAGCACCCCAUGGGCAAACAAAGAUCUAUGUAAUAUUCCCCCUCGAAGUGACAACCCAGCAAGUGAUGGCACUUCUGGUCGAACGAAGCGUACAAAACCGAAGAAAGGGCCCUGUCUAUGUCGUCAUUAACUGACGACCCCUUGGGGUAGGACAGAUGGUGAAUCAGGCUGUACUUGCCGGGCUCCUUCUUGGGUACUACCCCAAGUGGUGAUACUCUCAAGUUGGGUAACGGGGGCUCCCUGAACGGCCCCGCCACCCUGCCCAGCUGAACCUCCUUAUGCAACUUCUCCCUAACCACCCCCGGAAAUUCCCCUGCCGACUUCAGGUUGCGAAGAUGAUGAGCCACCACUCGCUCCUGAAACGGGAUAACGAACCCGUUGGUGAACCCCUCCUCUAGCAAUGCCGCAUCUUCCCUGUUAGCGUAGUGGCUUAGCCACGACCGCAUCGCGCCGACCUUCACUGAUGUGGCCCCCAGAAGCAGGGGACCCUACCGAACCUCCAGGCACCCCUGCUGCGGAGGCUGACUUCCCUUUUUUGAAACACCUGUGAAGUCCGUGGGUGCCUCCACACCCGGAGCACUCGUGCUUGAAUCGACAAGUGGCCCCCCACUUGCACUGUCCCUCAUUAUACAGCCAGCAG